rnacentral:rRNA from 1 species
AACGCGAAGAACCUUACCUGGGCUUGAACCGCACAGGACCCUCCUUAGAAAUAGGGACUUCCCGCAAGGGACCUGUGUAGAGGUGCUGCAUGGCUGUCGUCAGCUCGUGCCGUGAGGUGUUGGGUUAAGUCCCGCAACGAGCGCAACCCUUACUCGUAGUUGCCACCCGCAAGGGGGAACUCUACGAGGACUGCUCCGGAUAACGGAGAGGAAGGUGGGGAUGAGGUCAAGUCAGCAUGGCCUUUAUGUCCAGGGCUACACACGUGUUACAAUGCACGUUACAAAGUGUCGCGAACCCGCGAGGGGGGAGCUAAUCGACAAAAAACGUGCUCAGUUCGGAUUGCAGUCUGCAACUCGACUGCAUGAAGCCGGAAUCGCUAGUAAUGGCGUAUCAGAUCGACGCCGUGAAUACGUUCCCGGGCUUGUACACACCGUAGUAC